AGGAUGCACAGUUUUGGAAAAAUAUUUUGUCUAUUUAUUCUAUUAACAAGUUGCAUAAUGAUUUCUUGCGAGCAAAAAAAGCUACCAUGUUGGACACGGAACCGUUGUGACGCAUGCCCUAGAAAAACACGAAUUGGCAGGAUGCCAAUAUGCUGCAACAACUGUGCCGUAGGAAGACUCAUUGUUCGGGUUACUAAGAGUAAAGCUUAUUGUUGGUGUCUUAUAGAUUAAUGAGGAAAAGUUAAUAAUUAAUGAAGUCUUCAGAAUAUGUUAAAAAUUGAAUUUCCUUCUGUACACCUUAGAAAUCUUAUUAAUAAAUUGCUAGAAAGCAA